AGAGCUGCAGAGGACAUUUCAAAUAAAGGCAUUGGGCAACUGUAAGGCAGAGAGAAGGCCUCAUUGUGGACACCGCUGGUGCUUUCAGAGUUUCAGCCGAUGUACCCGAUGACUGGAUUGGAAGAAUUGGAAAGAAUAACAGCACCCA